rnacentral:rRNA from 1 species
UACGAAGGGGGCUAGCGUUGUUCGGAAUUACUGGGCGUAAAGCGCACGUAGGCGGACAUUUAAGUCAGGGGUGAAAUCCCAGAGCUCAACUCUGGAACUGCCUUUGAUACUGGGUGUCUUGAGUAUGGAAGAGGUGAGUGGAAUUCCGAGUGUAGAGGUGAAAUUCGUAGAUAUUCGGAGGAACACCAGUGGCGAAGGCGGCUCACUGGUCCAUUACUGACGCUGAGGUGCGAAAGCGUGGGGAGCAAGCAGG